UCCAUCGUGAGGUGGAAUCUGAAGGAAGCCUAAGGCAAAAUGCCGGCUCGAUGAACAAGAACCACAUACGAGGCUGACUUGAGGCGGAUGAGUUUGCGUAACAAAAUAAAGUCCAACACUACCCGAACCUCAUACAGUAAAUGUGGCAAGUAUAUGAGAUGUAACAGGA
rnacentral:ncRNA from 1 species